rnacentral:lncRNA from 12 species
UUAAUCUUAAAAAUCUUUCAACAGAAGGAUUUAUGGCUUGAUCUUUGAGGAGUCCAUGCCAUGAGGUGGGAUCUGGCGAGGGCAGCUCGAUCGUAGUAUCGCAUUUUCCACUCAGCCAAGGAAUCUCAGGCACAACUACUGCUCCCUGACCUAUGUAACCUGCCAACAACAGAGACCAAGGCUGAAACCCUGCCAUCAUACUACCAGCCACUGGAGGUAAAUUGAUUACACUGUGUUGUUAUGCUUCUUCUAUCCUGGAAGCAGCAGCCU